rnacentral:rRNA from 1 species
GACGAACGCUGGCGGCGUGCUUAACACAUGCAAGUCGAACGGAAAGGCCCUGCUUUUGUGGGGUGCUCGAGUGGCGAACGGGUGAGUAACACGUGAGUAACCUGCCCCUGACUUUGGGAUAACUUCAGGAAACUGGGGCUAAUACCGGAUAGGAGCUCCUGCUGCAUGGUGGGGGUUGGAAAGUUUCGGCGGUUGGGGAUGGACUCGCGGCUUAUCAGCUUGUUGGUGGGGUAGUGGCUUACCAAGGCUUUGACGGGUAGCCGGCCUGAGAGGGUGACCAGCCACAUUGGGACUGAGAUACGGCCCAGACUCCUACGGGAGGCAGCAGUGGGGAAUAUUGCACAAUGGGCGGAGGCCUGAUGCAGCAACGCCGCGUGCGGGAUGACGGCCUUCGGGUUGUAAACCGCUUUCGCCUGUGACGAAGCGUGAGUGACGGUAAUGGGUAAAGAAGCACCGGCUAACUACGUG